AGGACGAACGCUGGCGGCGUGCUUAACACAUGCAAGUCGAGCGAGACCCGCCUUUCGGGGUGGUGUUCUAGCGGCGAACGGGUGAGUAACACGUGGGUAACCUGCCCUGUACUGUGGGAUAAGCCUGGGAAACUGGGUCUAAUACCGCAUAUGACUGCAUUCCGCAUGGGGUGUGGUGGAAAGUUCUGGCGGUACAGGAUGGGCCCGCGGCCUAUCAGCUUGUUGGUGGGGUGAUGGCCUACCAAGGCGACGACGGGUAGCCGGCCUGAGAGGGCGACCGGCCACACUGGGACUGAGACACGGCCCAGACUCCUACGGGAGGCAGCAGUGGGGAAUCUUGCGCAAUGGGCGAAAGCCUGACGCAGCGACGCCGCGUGAGGGAUGACGGCCUUCGGGUUGUAACCUCUUUCGACCGGGACGAAGCGUGAGUGACGGUACCGGUAGAAGAAGCACCGGCUAACUACGUGCCAGCAGCCGC
rnacentral:rRNA from 1 species